AUGCUCCACCUGUAUGGCUGGCAAACCACGCAGCGUAGAAAGAUGGGGCACCCACCAGACUCUCCCAGUGCCCCGGCCCCAGCUGGCACCACAGCUAUACCUGGGCUUAUUCCAGACCUUGUCGCCGGGACCCCCUGGCCCCGCUGGGCUCUCAUUGCCGGCGCCCUUGCCGCGGGCAUCCUCCUCGUCUCCUGCCUCCUCUGUGCUGCCUGCUGCUGCUGCCGCCACCACAGGAAGAAGCCCAGGGACAAGGAGGCCGUGGGUCUGGGCAGUGCCCGUGGCACCACCACCACCCACCUGGUGCAACCUGAUGUGGAUGGCCUGGAGUCCAGCCCGGGGGGUGCUCAGCAAUGGGGGCGCCUGCAGCUCUCCCUGGAGUACGACUUUGGAAGCCAGGAGGUGAAGAGCCCUGCUGUGCAGGACCAGCGGUUCUGCGAGUUUCCGGAAAGGGUGACGGGGGAAGGGCAGACCCCGUGCCCUGGGUGGUGGGGAGCUGACAGGGCAGGGGCCCUUGGCUGA
rnacentral:sRNA from 1 species